rnacentral:rRNA from 3 species
GGGUUGUGAGGUUAAGCGACUAAGCGUACACGGUGGAUGCCCUGGCAGUCAGAGGCGAUGAAGGACGUGCUAAUCUGCGAUAAGCGCCGGUAAGGUGAUAUGAACCGUUAUAACCGGCGAUUUCCGAAUGGGGAAACCCAGUGUGAUUCGUCACACUAUCAUUAACUGAAUCCAUAGGUUAAUGAGGCGA